UAUUCAAUCCCUUGAUACCUCGAAAGCACGAAAGCCGCUGCUAUCUUCUUUCCAGGUCUCUAGUUGAUUGAAUAGGGGCAGCUGUAAUACCCCAAAAUUUACCCUUCAUUUUUCCUGGAAAAAUACGCUUUACACCUCAUGCAUGCAUUCAUUUUUAGGUCAUUUAACAUUAGAUACAUUGCAUUUCAUCAUGUCAAUCAGAAUUAGAUCCAAGAAACUUUAUUUAAAAAAAAUAAAAUAAAAAAAAUAAAAUUAAAAUUAAA
rnacentral:lncRNA from 1 species